AAAUCCAUGAGCUGAGCUAUAUAGACAAGUGGUUUCUUUCACAGUUAAGAGAACUAAUAGACGUAGAACAGUUCCUCAUGUCACGUAGUCUGGAUCAACUGACAAAGGUUGACUUCUAUGAGGUGAAGAGGAGAGGUUUUAGCGAUAAACAGAUUGCCUAUGCAACUUCUGUAGCUGAAAUGGAGGUUCGAUCAAAGCGCCUGUCACUAGGUGUGAUCCCAACAUACAAGAGAGUUGAUACUUGUGCAGCUGAGUUUGAGGCGAACACUCCUUACAUGUACUCUUCAUAUGAGUUUGAAUGUGAAUCAGCUCCAACAAAGGGGAAGAAGGUGUUGAUCUUGGGUGGUGGACCUAACAGAAUUGGCCAAGGGAUCGAGUUUGACUACUGUUGUUGCCAUGCCUCGUUUGCCCUCCGGCAGGAUGGAUACGAAACAAUCAUGUUGAACUCAAAUCCAGAGACUGUCUCCACAGAUUACGACACCAGCGACCGCCUGUACUUUGAACCUCUAACAGUCGAAGAUGUACUAAAUGUGAUCGACAUGGAGCGACCUGAUGGCAUUAUUGUGCAGUUCGGAGGGCAAACUCCUCUCAAGCUCGCACUCCCCAUACAACGCUAUCUCGAGGAGCAGCAGCUGUUGUCCGCUUCUGGUGCGGGACCCGUGCAAAUUUGGGGAACAUCACCUGAUUCCAUUGAUGCAGCCGAGGACAGAGAGAGGUUUAAUGCAAUUCUUAAUGAGCUCGAAAUUGAGCAGCCCAAAGGCGGGAUAGCGAAGAGCGAAUCCGACGCCAUAUCAAUCGCUACCGAAAUCGGCUACCCCGUAGUGGUACGACCUUCUUAUGUUUUGGGUGGACGAGCUAUGGAAAUUGUUUACACCGAUGAGAAGCUGAUAACAUAUCUCGAGAAUGCGGUGGAAGUCGAUCCUGAACGUCCUGUCUUAGUUGACAGAUAUCUUUCAGAUGCUAUCGAGAUUGACGUGGAUGCACUGUCCGACUUGUACGGGAACGUGGUAAUCGGUGGUAUCAUGGAGCACAUUGAGCAAGCUGGCAUUCAUUCGGGAGAUUCGGCUUGUUCUCUGCCCACGAAAACCGUGUCGGCUAAAUGCUUGAAUACAAUCCGAUUGUGGACUACGAAGCUGGCGAAACGUCUCAACGUAUGCGGGCUCAUGAACUGUCAAUAUGCAAUUACGGCUUCUGGUGAUGUCUACCUACUCGAGGCAAACCCGCGUGCUUCCCGCACGGUGCCCUUUGUUUCGAAAGCUAUUGGGCAUCCUUUAGCAAAAUACGCUUCGCUUGUAAUGUCCGGCAAGAGCUUGUUUGAUAUCGGAUUCACAAGCGAGGUGGUCCCUGCACAUGUUUCAGUCAAGGAGGCUGUGCUUCCAUUCGAGAAGU
rnacentral:misc_RNA from 1 species